CGUGAUUGUGUCCUUCUCCGGGCCAGUUCAUUUCGUGGGGAAUCUGUAACGCAAUAGCGCGUAGUUGUAGGUUUAAAGUCCCGGAAGAUAUGGGAAGAAGAAAUCGGAUCGAGUGCUUUGCAGUCAUACGCAUUUCAGGAUCAUUGCUCUCUUAAGGUUGAUACAGAGGUCGUUGUAACAGAACUUGCUCUGAAGCAAAACUCACUCGACCAUGGUUGCAACCUGCUACAAUAAAAAAGGACAGAAAACCAUACUGUUUUAUUACAAGAAGUUCUUAGGUUUGCUUUUGUAAAUAAUUAGGCUCUAUUUUCAAAAUAUUGGCUGUUGAAUACUGUUGUUAUUAUAUGUGACAUUCCUGAAAACUUUGUCUAUGUUGCAUUAUGUUUGCAAAAGUUUUCAUUGCUAGAAACUAUGACGUCUUCGUGACAUAAAACAACAGUUUUUAUAAAUGACCAAGUUUUUACAUAUGGAAGUCAACACACUCAGAUACAUUAUACCUGGUUCACUAAUAGGAAAAAUAGGUCUGCACUGCAUACCUGUUUCUAGUGCAAAACGAAAUUGCAUGUUUACAGCUGUACUGCCCUUUGGGUCUGUUUGGAAGGUAUGAUGAAAGGAUGUCAAUAGAUGCUAGAUGCACAGGUAUUAGGUGUAGUAGUCUUCCAGAAAGCACUGUGACUGGUGGUUUUUUUUGUGACUGGUGUAGGGCAUUAGAGGCAGCUUUUAAAGUUCUGUCUUAAGGUUGGAUUUGACAAUUCAACUAUUUGGUUUUCUUUUUUUUUCUUUAUUAAGGACAGGUUGUGAACAUAGCCUGUAGUAACUCUUUUAAGGUUUCCCUCUUUUACUUCUGGUUCUAGAGAUAAUGAAAAGGGUUGUGAACGAGACAUCAAAUUUUAGCAAAGGCAGUCUUGUACAGGGAAUCUCAAUAACAAGAGUCCUGCUUCAUAAUGGAUAACUGGCAAAAAUGUAUUUAAAAGAGCAGUAGUAAUAACUAGGUAAUAGAAUGGUGAUCAAACCACUGUCAAAAGUAUUUGUAACCACAUCAUUGUUUUGCUUAGGAGAGUUUCUCAGCUAAUCAGAUGUUAAACUAAAUCAAAC